rnacentral:rRNA from 1 species
AACGAACGCUGGCGGCAUGCCUAACACAUGCAAGUCGAACGAAGGCUUCGGCCUUAGUGGCGCACGGGUGCGUAACGCGUGGGAAUCUGCCCUUAGGUUCGGAAUAACAGCUGGAAACGGCUGCUAAUACCGGAUGAUAUCGCGAGAUCAAAGAUUUAUCGCCUGAGGAUGAGCCCGCGUUGGAUUAGGUAGUUGGUGGGGUAAAGGCCUACCAAGCCGACGAUCCAUAGCUGGUCUGAGAGGAUGAUCAGCCACACUGGGACUGAGACACGGCCCAGACUCCUACGGGAGGCAGCAGUGGGGAAUAUUGGACAAUGGGCGAAAGCCUGAUCCAGCAAUGCCGCGUGAGUGAUGAAGGCCCUAGGGUUGUAAAGCUCUUUUACCCGGGAAGAUAAUGACUGUACCGGGAGAAUAAGCCCCGGCUAACUCCGUGCCAGCCGCCGCCGUAAUAC